CCUACGGGAGGCAGCAGUGAGGAAUAUUGGUCAAUGGACGAGAGUCUGAACCAGCCAAGUAGCGUGAAGGAUGACUGCCCUAUGGGUUGUAAACUUCUUUUAUAUGGGAAUAAAAUGUGCUACGUGUGGGAUUUUGUAUGUACCAUAUGAAUAAGGAUCGGCUAACUCCGUGCCAGCAGCCGCGGUAAUACGGAGGAUUCGAGCGUUAUCCGGAUUUAUUGGGUUUAAAGGGAGCGUAGGGGGUUGGUUAAGUCAGUUGUGAAAGUUUGGGGCUCAACCGUGAAAUUGCAGUUGAAACUGUCAGUCUUGAGCACAGUAGCGGUAGGCGGAAUUCGUGGUGUAGCGGUGAAAUGCUUAGAUAUCACGAAGAACUCCGAUUGCGAAGGCAGUUCACUGGACUGCAACUGACACUGAGGCUCGAAAGUGUGGGUAUCAAACAGGAUUAGAUACCCGUGUAGUC
rnacentral:rRNA from 1 species